GAGUUUGAUCGUGGCUCAGAACGAACGCUGGCGGCAUGCCUAACACAUGCAAGUCGAACGAGACCUUCGGGUCUAGUGGCGCACGGGUGCGUAACGCGUGGGAAUCUGCCCUUCGGUUCGGAAUAACUCAGGGAAACUUGAGCUAAUACCGGAUAAUGACGUAAGUCCAAAGAUUUAUCGCCGAAGGAUGAGCCCGCGUAGGAUUAGCUUGUUGGUGGGGUAAUGGCCUACCAAGGCGACGAUCCUUAGCUGGUCUGAGAGGAUGAUCAGCCACACUGGGACUGAGACACGGCCCAGACUCCUACGGGAGGCAGCAGUGGGGAAUAUUGGACAAUGGGCGAAAGCCUGAUCCAGCAAUGCCGCGUGAGUGAUGAAGGCCUUAGGGUUGUAAAGCUCUUUUACCCGGGAUGAUAAUGACAGUACCGGGAGAAUAAGCUCCGGCUAACUCCGUGCCAGCAGCCGCCGUAAC
rnacentral:rRNA from 1 species